AUUGAACGCUGGCGGCAGGCCUAACACAUGCAAGUCGAACGGUAACAGAAAGUAGCUUGCUACUUUGCUGACGAGUGGCGGACGGGUGAGUAAUGUCUGGGGAUCUGCCUGAUGGAGGGGGAUAACUACUGGAAACGGUAGCUAAUACCGCAUAAUGUCGCAAGACCAAAGCGGGGGACUUUCGGGCCUCACACCAUCAGAUGAACCCAGAUGGGAUUAGCUAGUAGGUAAGGUAAUGGCUUACCUAGGCGACGUCCCCUAGCUGGUCUGAGAGGAUGACCAGCCACACUGGAACCGAGCCACGGUCCAGACUCCUACGGGAGGCAGCAGUGGGGAAUAUUGCACAAUGGGCGCAAGCCUGAUGCAGCCAUGCCGCGUGUAUGAAGAAGGCCUUCGGGUUGUAAAGUACUUUCAGUCAGGAGGAAGGGUGUGAAAUUAAUACUUUCAUGCAUUGACGUUACUGACAGAAUAAGCACCGGCUAACUACGUGCCAGCCGCCGCCGUAA
rnacentral:rRNA from 1 species